rnacentral:snRNA from 1 species
GUACUCACUUCAGCAGUACACAUACUAAAAUUGAAAUGAUACGAAGAUUACCAUGGCCCCUGUGCAAGAAAAACAUGCAAAUUUGCAAAGCAUUUUAUAUUAGA